CCUGACGACCAUAGCAAGUUGGAACCACCCCUUCCCAUCCCGAACAGGACCGUGAAACGACUUAGCGCCGAUGAUAGUGCGCACCGCGCGUGUGAAAGUAGGUCAUCGUCAGGC
rnacentral:rRNA from 1 species